GAGCACCGCAUUCAUCACAACACACUGGCUUGAAGAGAUGGCACAUGCUGAUUAAGAAGAAUGAUACAGGAGUUAAAUGGGUUAACUUCUGAGAAGUGUGGAAAAGAGAAGACGCCCUCGGGAUCCGAUCCAAUGGGAAGACGUUAUUGCAAGGAGUGCUUCACGAGACGAAGGAGUCCAAGAUGAGAAGCUCCACUAGUGAUGGUGAUGAGAAUUCAGUGCUUCACUGUUUGCCCUGAGGAAGACUGCAGCACACAUCAUGCCAGCCAGCUAGAUCGACAGAGAACAACAGACACAUGACAGGCAAAAAUCUAUUCAAGGACUUUCAAGAAAAUGACUAUUGGGCUGGAUUACCUCCUUCAAUCAGUUCAGUAUGAUUUGUAAUACAUAAACUGUAACUCAAUUUCCGAUUAAAAUAAUUGUCGACAUUAUAGUCUGCCUCGGUUUAAGCUAGUGUUCAGUCAGAUACCAAGUAACACCCUGACACUGAAGUGGAGGAGAUUAAGAAUUGUCCAUUUCCAAAUGCUAGAUAUAAAUAUUGUUUCAGGCAAGAUUCUGAGGGAUUGUUACAUGCUGUUGGGUAAAUAAUCUAAUUAAAAAUGGCAGCACAAGUACAAACUAGUCAUUUGCCAACAUAAGUAAUUUCACCCCUUGUUAUCCAAUAAUGUUUAAUAUGUUGAACAAAAAAAGAUGAUUACAAAAUGGGAGUAUUAGAGUUAUGUUUUAAUUCAUGGUUUCUUUCAAUGCACUGUAUUUAUGUUCUCAGCCAAUAGGUGAGCAGUUUCACGUCUCCAUUUGACAUACCUUGAAUAAAUGGGAUAGUCUGAAGUAAUUAUAUUUUUUUCAAAGUUGUAGUCCAAAGACUUUACCAAUAUAAUAACCAUCAUAACAAAACGGGUACCCUGAAGCCAAUAUUUAGAUUGUACUGGUCUAAUUUAUGAAGUAACAUUAAAUAAUAAGUAAAUUAAAAGUAACUUUUACUUAUUUAAAAACAAGUUAUUGAUAUGCAAAAUUAACAAGUAAACAAUGAUCUCAUUUACAUGAUAUUAAUUUCAAGAAAAUACUUAAAAUCUUUGCAGCUAUUUACAGAAGAGUUAAACCGAUAAAUUUAUGAAUUAGUCUCUGAAGAGUAUCAAUGCCAUCACUGCUGGAAGCAGAAAGAAAAGGCCAGGUAUUAAAAUCCCUGGAACCACUGUUCAGAUUGUCCUUUAGCUCUCUGAAUUAGGUGGGAGCUCUGAACAAUAGUGAGGUUAUCUCUCAAUUAUCGACUAAUCCCAGCACAUAUCAUUUAUAUGAGCGAAGUAAUUCAGGUGUAACCACAGUUUUCUUUUGUUGUUUGUGACACCUGGCCACAGCCUAAAAUGUGCAAGCUGUAAAUUUGACUGGCAUGAACCUCCUCUGAUUGUUCAUCAAUCAAAGAUAAUGAGUUCGGUCUUCUACCCCAGCUGGCAGCCAUGCAUACAUUAACAUUUCAAGGACAAGAAGUUAUUUCUGAUGUAAUUAGCUUAUAAAUGUGAUUUAAUUAACUUAUACAGUAAAUACUGUCAAAAAUAUCACUGUAGCAACCAGACAGGCUAAAUAAGGGCAUUUGGAUGUUUUCAUCCACUUUGUGUAUAGUUCUAUCAAUACACCAAUCUACUUUUUAAAUGUUGUUAAAAUGUCAUUAUAAAAUCGACCAGGUAUGUCUUCAUGAAACUAUUUGUUUUGCUGUUUCUCCUGGAAUUAGUUAUCACAAGGAAAUGUACCCCAAUUUUCCAAAUUUGGAACAUAACUAUAAUAGGGAAUGCAACGGAUAUACUGAGAAAGACAAAACAUAUUGUUUCCUGUGUUAUGUUACAAUAUUAAAGAUUUAAAUAGAUUGUAUCACUACUGCUGAUAAAUUGUACACUGGCAGAUAAUCCUUUGGCCUGAUAGAAAAUUAAUGGUGUAUUAUGACAAUAACCAUUUUAUGCUUCUGGAAUAAAAUAAUUAAAAGUUAUAUACUAAAUAUUAUAUAUAUUCUGAAUAAUGUUGAAGCCUAUUCCAAAUAACAACAUGGUCCCAGAGCGUUGUUACUGAUGACUGACUAAAGCCAAUCGUUAGUAUGUUCUGGCAUAAUGUGAUAUAAUGAUUAAGUUAAUUAUAUCACAUUACACUAGCAUAUGCUAGGUAGGCCCCAAUGGAGUACCUGGUAAGGCUCUGAAAACUUGCGCCAACCUACUGACAGGUGUAUUCAAGGACAUUUUCAACCUCUCACUGCUAUGGGCAGAAGUUCCCACAUGCUUCAAAAAGGCAACAAUUAUACUGGCGUUUACCACCAUCAUUCCCACAGUCAUGCUCGAUAAGCUACAGAACCUAGGCCUCUGAAGCUGUCUCUGCUACUGGAUCCUCGACCUCCUAACCGGAAGACCAUAGUUUAUGCAGAUUGGUGAUAAUAGCUCCUCCUCUCUGAAGAUCAACACUGGUGCACCUCAGGGGUGUGUGCUUAGCCCACUGCUCUGCUCUCUAUAUAUCUAUGACUGUGUGGAUAAGCUUAGCUCAAAUGAAACUUGCAUAUAAAUUUGCUGAUGAUACAACAAUUGUUGGCAGAGUCCUAGAUGGAGACGAGAGGGCGUACAAGAGCGAGAUAUACCAGCUAGUUGAGUGGUGUCACAGCAACAGCCCUGCACUCAGCAUCAGUAAGACCAAAGAGUUGAUUGUGGACUUCAGGAAGGGUAAAAUGAGGGAACAUGAACCAAUUCUCACAGAGGGAUCAGAAGUGGAGAGAGAGAGUGAGCAAUUCCAAGUUUCUGGGUGUCAAUAUCUCUGAGGAUCUGACCUGGCUCCAACAUACUGACACAGCUAUAAAGAACACAAGAUAGCAGCUGUACUUCAUUAGGAGUUUAAGGAGAUUUGCUUUGUCACUAAAACAGGAGAGCAUUCUGACAGGCUGCAUCAUGAUCUGGUAUGGGUGAGGGGAGGGAGGCUGCUGCACAGGAUUGAAAGAAUCUACAGGAAAUAGUAAAAUUAGUCAGCUCCAUCGUGAGAACUAGCCUCUAUAGUAUCCAAGACAUCUUCAAGGAUUGGUGCCACAGAAAGUCGGCGUCCAUUAUUAAGGAUUAAGUCCAUUAUCCCUACCACCCAGGAUAUGCCCUCUUCUGAUUGUUACCAUCAGGGAGGAGGUACAGAAGCCUGAAGGCACACACUCAGCGAUUCAGGAACAGCUUCUUCCCCUCUGCUAUCUGAUUCCUAGAUGGACGUUGAACCCAUGAACUGUACCUCAUUUUGUUCUAUAAUUUCUGUGUUGGCACUAUUUUUAAUUUAACUAUUUAAUAUACAUAUAUAUACUUACUGCAAUUGAUUUACUAUUUAUUUUUUCUCUAUACUAGCAUGUAUUACAUUGUACUGCUGCUGUUAGCUAAUUUCACAACAUAUGAUGGUGAUAUUAAACCUGAUUCUGACUCUGAAAUUCACACAGAUGCACGUUAUAUUCUUUAUUCACAGACAGGAAGUAUUCAGACCAAACCUACAAUUUCAUGCCAUCAUCUAUUGGUGUUAGACAAUUUAAAACUGUCAAAUAUUAUAAACUUCACCAAAGUUUGACCUAUUAAAACUGAAUUCCUGAAACAUAGUCAGAGAUUUAGCCAAUUAUAAA